rnacentral:rRNA from 1 species
UACGGGGGGAGCAAGCGUUGUUCGGAUUUACUGGGCGUAAAGGGCGCGUAGGCGGCGUAACAAGUCACUUGUGAAAUCUCCGGGCUUAACCCGGAGCGGCCAAGUGAUACUGUUGUGCUAGAGUGCGGAAGGGGCUACUGGAAUUCUCGGUGUAGCGGUGAAAUGCGCAGAUAUCGGGAGGAACACCAAUGGCGAAGGCAGCUCGCUGGGACGUUACUGACGCUGAGACGCGAAAGCGUGGGGAGCAAACAGG